UCCUCAGCGGCAGGAAAUACUUUCCAGGCAAUCUGGGCCUGCUGGUGGAGGCCCCUUUCGCAAAACAUCAGUCUGCAUUGAGUAGACAGAAGUCCCCAGGAACGCCUUGACAGGAUCCUGCUCUAGCUAAGGCUCCCUCCAGCUGCCGAGGGUGUUUUUGUUAGAAUCACACACUGCGCAGAACUGCUUAGGACAGAGCCAUGAUCUCAAGCACAAGAUGUGAACUUAUUUUGGAGAAACUGACCGGUCCGGACUUCACUCCCAGCCUGAGUGCUGAGCGGUGUCAUGCCCUGGCGUUUCAGCUCCUCGUUUUCUAGGUGGUGAAAUGACAAAACUCACUCUCUCCUUUGAUCCAUGAAUUUGAAAUAAUCUUUCAUCAAGUUCCAUCUCCCUUAGCCUCAUAUGGAAUGUAUCUCUCUGUCUGUUGUUAAACUAUGAUGACAUGUCUGUAGCUAUCAGAAAGAGAAGCUGGGAAGAACAUGUGACCCGAUGGAUGGGACAACCUUUUAAUUGUGAUGAUUAUAACACAGCAUGUCAUCAUGGACUAGUAGCUGACAGCUUGCAGGCAAGAAUGGAAAAAGAUGCAACUCUAAAUGUGGACCGCAAAGAGAAGUGUGUUUCACUACCAGACUGCUGUCAAGGAUCAGAGCUGAGAGAUUUUCCUGGGAGGCCAAUGGGUCACGUUUCAAAGGAGGUGGAUGAAAAUGACAGCCAUGAAGGUGAAGAUCAGUUUCUGUCUCUGGAGGCCAGCACAGAAACACUCGUGCAUGUUUCUGAUGAGGAUACAGAUUCUGAUCUAUAUCUUACAGAUGAUAAACAGAUUUUAACUACCGAAGGGUGUAAAACAUCAAGCCAGCAUAGUGUCAAAGGAGCAGGCUCCUUAGUAAAUACACUGCCCAUCAUGGAAAGUAAUCAAGAUUCUUAUAACUCCUGGGGAGUGGCUGGUAAAGCUGAUUUAGCACUGGCAGAAGAAAGUGGGGAGAGAAAAGUUGUUAACACUAUAAGUAAAAGCCUGGAGCUUUGUAACAAUAUGAGCGUAAGUGAAAUAAAAGAUGUACCCCAAGUAAAUUCAUUUGAUACUUUGAAUGUGAAAGACAUUGUACCUGAGAAGCAAUUGCUUCAUACUGCCGUAAUUGCUCAGCAAAGAAGGAAACCUGACUUGCCUAAAGAGGAACAUGAAAGAAACACCUGCAGUGUAGUACAAGAUGAGUUCUUGGCUAGUGCUUGUACAGACAGAGGACUGCCAUUAUUAAAAGCAGAUUUUGGAAGCUGUGUUCUGCAGCCUCCUUCCUGCCCCAGUGGAAUGUUAGCUGAAAAUGACCUGGAGAAUAGUGGCUUCUCAGAACAUCAGAACAAAAGUCCCCCAGAGGUCAAUGAAGGAGACGACAUGCAGUGUUUACACUUAGAGGAGAGUCCGGCCACCCAGGAACCUACAAAUAACCAAGUCAGACUGCGCAAAAGAAAGGUAAGACACAUGCACAGAUUAUCUGGCUUUUGA